GACAAACGCUGGCGGCAUGCCUAACACAUGCAAGUCGAACGGACAGAACAGGGAAGCUUUUCGGAGUGGAACUGGAAAGUUAGUGGCGGAUGGGUGAGUAACGCGUGGACAACCUACCUUGUAAAGGGGAAUAACCUCGAGAAAUCGAAGCUAAUACCCCAUAAUAACCUUGCUUCGCAUGAAGUAAGGAGGAAAGGCGGCCUUAGCGCUGUCGAUACAAGAUGGGUCCGCGUCUGAUUAGCUAGUUGGUGAGGUAAAGGCUCACCAAGGCGACGAUCAGUAGCCGGCCUGAGAGGGUGAACGGCCACAUUGGGACUGAGACACGGCCCAAACUCCUACGGGAGGCAGCAGUGGGGAAUCUUCCGCAAUGGGCGAAAGCCUGACGGAGCAAUGCCGCGUGAGUGAAGAAGGCCUUCGGGUUGUAAAACUCUGUCCUUAUCGAAGAGAGAGUGUUGUAGUAACUGACAAUACUAGGACGGUAGAUGAGGAGGAAGCCCCGGCUAACUAUGU
rnacentral:rRNA from 1 species